GAUGAACGCUGGCGGCGUGCCUAAUACAUGCAAGUCGAGCGAACCGACGAGGAGCUUGCUCCUCUGACGUUAGCGGCGGACGGGUGAGUAACACGUGGAUAACCUACCUAUAAGACUGGGAUAACUUCGGGAAACCGGAGCUAAUACCGGAUAAUAUCUUGAACCGCUUGGUUCAAUAGUGAAAGACGGUUUUGCUGUCACUUAUAGAUGGAUCAGCACCUCAUUUACUAGUUGUUAAGGUAACAGCUUACAAAGGCAGCGAUGGGUAGCCGACCUGAGAGGGUGAUCGGACACACUGGAACAGAGACACGGUCCAGACUCCGACGGGAGGCAGCAGUAGGGAAUCUUCCGCGAUGGGGGAAAGCCGGACGGAGCAACGCCGCGUGAAGGAUGAAGGUCUUAGGAUCGUAAAGCUCUGUUGUUAGGGAAGAACAAAUGUGUAAGUAACUAUGCACGUCUUGACGGUACCUAAUCAGAAAGCCACGGCUAACUACGUG
rnacentral:rRNA from 1 species